UGUCCCCUUCUGUUGCUUUAUUCUGUGUAUCCCUCACAUACAUCCCCCCAGCCCGGCCCUCGGCGGUGACACUGCAGUUUGGUUUGCUCCAAGGACCUGGGUUUUCUGUCGUGCGGUCCCGGGAUCCGGGGAGAGAGAGAUCGUGCUUCUCCGUUGCCAGGUGGUGCUGCUGACCGAGUGUUUACAGACAAUUGUUGGGACUUCUCCCUUUCUAACCUCAGGGGGAACCUGGUCCAGUCCGGGGUUGAGUGGUGAGAAGGUCUGGCUUCUCACCCCACCCCCAAACUAGAAGAUGACUUGCCUGGUGGGGGUCAAAGUAGAAGCUGGUGCCAAUUACUGAGAUUUUUGGCAGAAAUCAGCCCUGGGCUAUGCGCAGGAGUUUGGAAUUAGAAGUUAGGUUGCUCAAAGGUGUCAAGGUCUUCAUCUGUCCCCUGUGAAAUGCCCUUGUUACAUGGACUCCCCGGGCGGGACUCUGGGAUCAUUCCCGCAGCGGCGGCGAAGGGAGUGCUGCCUCCAGCAGCAGUGCAUCAAGCGAGCUCUGAAUAGACCCUGCCCCCUGUCAGCUGCACCAGUGCUGGGGUGGGAGGGUGGGGUGGGGGCAGGAGGCAGAAGCUCGCCAGAGUUUCCUGUCUUGGCUCCCCAGAUCAGAACCAGAGGACUUCUGGCCUCUGGAUUGAGGAAGUGACCUUCUGUGUGUGUGUUUUUAAGGAAGUGUUGUUGGUGGUGAGUGCAACUGUGUGUAUGUAAAUGAAACCAGGCCUUAUGUAGAUCAUUUGGUGGGGGGUGGGGGGGAUUCUAAAGAUUUAGCACAGGACUUUUGAAAGAGGACAUACUAGUAUAGUUAAAAUACAGUAGGGAUGUGGCAAGGAAGUGUUCAUCUCCAUUUUAAAGCUCAUUUUCAGGGAUGUCCAUGUAGCCAAAGAACUAUAAUUACUGAGAAAGAAGCUCUUCUGUUCUUCAAAGUGGUAUCAGUUCAUUAGACCAGGUUUUUAUAUUAGGUUAAGGAAGAGCAUGUGGCUGUUAAUGUUUUCAUAAAUAUAAAAAACCAAAAUCUGGCCCCAUAGAGCUUCUGAAAACUAGCGAUGUAAGUGGAAUACCACGCCAGCUAAUGGAAUAGAGUAUCCAGUGGUUGUCAGAUUAGAACGCUAACCUCCAGAACCUUGGAACUUUGUUUUUUGAAACAGUUUGCAAACAGUUUGAUACUGUAUCUAUAUUUGACUGUGACUGCUUCAACUCUGUCACCCAGACUCUACUUAUGACCCACUUAUAGAGUCUGCUUGUUCCCCGCCCCCCCCCCCCCCCCCCCCCCCGGAAAAGAACUUUAGUUCAAAAAACCAAGUAGGAGGCUUUGGGGUUAAGCACCUUUCCCACUCAUUUCAUGUACAGGCAUCCCUCGUUUUAUUGUGCGCUUCGCUUUGUUGCACCACACAGGUAUUGCGUUUUUUACAAAUGGCAAGAUCCCCCACCAGCAAAAAGAUUAUAUCUGACUUUAUUGUGAAACUCACUUUAUUGAGGUACUUGCUUUAUUGUGGUGAUCUGCAACCAAAACCUACAUUAUCUCUGAAGUAUGCCUCUGCAUACUUGACUAUCUGCAUUCAUACAAUGCCUUGAGCCUUGUCCCAUCUUCCCCACAGCUGCAGCCUAUAGGCAUCUAAUGAAACCAACAACUUUCCUUAGGCUACAGAGUGAUGUGUUCCAUUGGUAUGACUGGAAGUCUCCCCUACUGUGGGAAGUCCAGAUCCCUGCGUUAAAACUGAACUGAUCUGUGUAAUCCUGAACUCUCGAGGAACAAACUGUCUGCUUUUACAUCUUUUCUUCUGGGGUAUCGAACAUUUUGGCACCCUGUUUUAAAUUUAAAUUCUGCCAGUUCCCUCUGUUUGCUUAGAGGCCCACAUUUGUUAGAACUGAAUGAGGAAAGAAGUAUGUUCCAGCCCCAUUGCUAACGACAUACACCAAAAUAUUAUUCUAGUGUAUACAUAAUAGUCAUAGUUAUCAAUAGUUAUAGAUUGAUAACUCUACAUUGUACGAAUUGUUAUCAAGCAUCUCAAAUAAUGGGAAAAGCAGCUUAUAAAAUAGAUCACAGCUAUUUAAAUUUAAUCCAACAAAUCCUUGUUACCAAGGAUUAGCUUUAGGGAUUUUCUUCAUCCACCUUUUAUAGCUUAUUAAUCAUAGGAAAGUACAAAAGGUCUGUUCAUUAUUUCUAUGUGCCCUGGAGCAAUUACUAAAAGUGACCUCUGCAAAAUGGUGAGUAUUACCUCUGGGCAUCAUGAUUUGAUUGCAGUGGUAGGAAGACUAGCCCUUCCAUUCUGCUGCAGUGUGUGUGUGCCCUUCCCAAAGCCAAUCCAAAGGCUUUGAAGACAAAGCAGUGCUGAAAAGCGUCCACAGGCCCCCCCCCCACCCCUAUACACACACAAAGAAGAGCCGCACAACACCCACCUUCCUGUGUCCAGCACACUGGGGCUCUCUCUGAAGGCAGCCCAGAUAUUCUUGGAAGAUCGCCCCAGGGAGAAACAAGCUCGACCACUACGCCAUCAUCAGGUUCCCCCCCAACUACUGAGCCAGCCAUGAAGAAGACAGAAGACAACAAUACACUUGUGUUCACUGUGCAUGCCAAGCCCAACAAGCAUCAGAUCAAACAGGCUGUGAAGAAGUCCUAUGACAUUGACGUGGCCAAGGUCAACACCCUCGUCAGGCCUGAUGCUCCGCUGGCUCCUGUGAUGCUGUGGGUGUUGCCAAUAUAAUUGGGAUCAUCUAAACUGAGCCCAGCUGGCCAACUAUAAAUAUAACUGUUUUACACUGUAAAACAAACAAACAAACAUAUUAUGACAUACACGGCUCUGUAAUUUUCUAUUUCAUGGUGUUAAAAGAUAUAGCUUCAGAUUGGCAGCAGUAAUGCCCCCUAGUGGCUAGUUUGGAGAAAAUUGAGUAUUGAUUCUAAUGAGCAACUGAAUUGAGGGAAUUGUUUGCUUUUAUUUAUUAAAUACAUGUAUUUAUUAAGUA